CCUGUAUGUUAUGUGCAUUCAUUUAACUUUGCUGUGUUGUAUAUAUUGUGUAUAUACUGGACAAAUGAGUCCUAAUUUUAUAAUAUCUAGUCUCUAGAUAUUAAAGAGGUUGCCAGUGUAUGACAAAAGUAGAGUUAGUAAACUAACACAUUUUGUACACUUUGUGUUAAAAUUCCUAGAAAGGUUGUCUUCUGAAAAUGACUUUUGGAAAUGAAAUUAUAAAAUUCCAUCUAAGUGACACAUGUGCCUGUAACUCAUCCACUGGGUUUGUGGUGGAAAAGGAAUCAGGAGAAAUGAAGGGCUGUAGACCAGAGUGUUUCUAUUUAGAAGACACUUUCAGAUUUAACAAUUGUUACAUGUGUGUGUAAUUUAUUGAACACUACUGGGUAUAUAGUGGACAAAUUUAAGUCCUUAUUUGAAACAUCUAGUCUUUCUAGAUGUUUAGAAGUGCACAAAGUAUGUUAAAAGUAGAGGUAGUAAAAUAACACAUUUUGUCGAUAUUGUUUUGUUAAAAGUCAUAUGAAAUAUUUUUUGGAGACGGAAUGGUCAAACCACCUUCAGAGCAGUACACAUGCUGUUUGUGCUGUUUCAGGGAGGAGGGAGAAGGACGUGCCAAGGGCCCUAUGCCAAAAAGAAGCAUCUUGGACAUGGAAUUGUUAAACGACCUCUGAGCAGUUGGCAUCAGAACUUGUUCAUUCGGUUGGCUGCAGAGGGGUGGAAGAAGGUGCGGGGGAGGGAUGUAUGCAACUGUGUUCAUAUUUCCAUUUUGAUGUAACCAUUGUACUUGGGCAUCUCUUGGCUGUGCCACAGGAAAACACUGCUAAAAUAAUUCAGUGGAAACAUAACCUUGCUAUUUCAAUAUAGAUCUGACAAUGAAUUCUCUUUCAUGAAUUAUACUUAUUGUAUUCUUGCUUUAUGUCUAUUAAGGGAAUGAAGGAUUUGUAACUCUGCCAAUAUCUAUAGAGGCCUGUUGCAUUUUUGUCUUUUAUGAAAUUUUUGUCCCCAGGAAAGGCAGAAAUACAUUUUGCCCCCCUGACUGAGUUGGUGUCAUGUAUUCUUGGUUAUCCCAAUAUGCAUAGCCUGGGGAUUCUGAAUUGGUAAAUAUUCAUGAAAAAGCAUGAUACACAUAAAAAUGUAUGCUCAGUUGUAUGUAUACACAUAAAGCACCUAGGAUAUGUCAACCUAUAAACUGCUUGUGAUUCUGGA